UACGUAGGGUCCAAGCGUUGUCCGGAUUUACUGGGCGUAAAGAGCGUGUAGGCGGCCCGAUAAGUCCGCCGUGAAAGUCCAGGGCUCAACCCUGGGAUGCCGGUGGAAACUGUCGGGCUAGAGUCCGGAAGAGGCGAGUGGAAUUCCUGGUGUAGCGGUGAAAUGCGCAGAUAUCAGGAGGAACACCGGUGGCGAAGGCGGUUCUCUGGGCCUUACCUGACACUGAGGAGCGAAAGCGUGGGGAGCGAACAGG
rnacentral:rRNA from 1 species